rnacentral:rRNA from 1 species
CCAUCAUUUAAAGAAAGCGUAAUAGCUCACUGGUCGAGUCGGCCUGCGCGGAAGAUGUAACGGGGCUAAACCAUGCACCGAAGCUGCGGCAGCGACGCUUAUGCGUUGUUGGGUAGGGGAGCGUUCUGUAAGCCUGCGAAGGUGUACUGUGAGGUAUGCUGGAGGUAUCAGAAGUGCGAAUGCUGACAUAAGUAACGAUAAAGCGGGUGAAAAGCCCGCUCGCCGGAAGACCAAGGGUUCCUGUCCAACGUUAAUCGGGGCAGGGUGAGUCGACCCCUAAGGCGAGGCCGAAAGGCGUAGUCGAUGGGAAACAGGUUAAUAUUCCUGUACUUGGUGUUACUGCGAAGGGGGGACGGAGAAGGCUAUGUUGGCCGGGCGACGGUUGUCCCGGUUUAAGCGUGUAGGCUGGUUUUCCAGGCAAAUCCGGAAAAUCAAGGCUGAGGCGUGAUGACGAGGCACUACGGUGCUGAAGCAACAAAUGCCCUGCUUCCAGGAAAAGCCUCUAAGCAUCAGGUAACAUCAAAUCGUACCCCAAACCGACACAGGUGGUCAGGUAGAGAAUACCAAGGCGCUUGAGAGAACUCGGGUGAAGGAACUAGGCAAAAUGGUGCCGUAACUUCGGGAGAAGGCACGCUGAUAUGUAGGUGAAGUCCCUCGCGGAUGGAGCUGAAAUCAGUCGAAGAUACCAGCUGGCUGCAACUGUUUAUUAAAAACACAGCACUGUGCAAACACGAAAGUGGACGUAUACGGUGUGACGCCUGCCCGGUGCCGGAAGGUUAAUUGAUGGGGUUAGCGGUAACGCGAAGCUCUUGAUCGAAGCCCCGGUAAACGGCGGCCGUAACUAUAACGGUCCUAAGGUAGCGAAAUUCCUUGUCGGGUAAGUUCCGACCUGCACGAAUGGCGUAAUGAUGGCCAGGCUGUCUCCACCCGAGACUCAGUGAAAUUGAACUCGCUGUGAAGAUGCAGUGUACCCGCGGCAAGACGGAAAGACCCCGUGAACCUUUACUAUAGCUUGACACUGAACAUUGAGCCUUGAUGUGUAGGAUAGGUGGGAGGCUUUGAAGUGUGGACGCCAGUCUGCAUGGAGCCGGCCUUGAAAUACCACCCUUUAAUGUUUGAUGUUCUAACGUUGGCCCCUGAUCGGGGUUGCGGACAGUGUCUGGUGGGUAGUUUGACUGGGGCGGUCUCCUCCUAAAGAGUAACGGAGGAGCACGAAGGUUGGCUAAUCCUGGUCGGACAUCAGGAGGUUAGUGCAAUGGCAUAAGCCAGCUUGACUGCGAGCGUGACGGCGCGAGCAGGUGCGAAAGCAGGUCAUAGUGAUCCGGUGGUUCUGAAUGGAAGGGCCAUCGCUCAACGGAUAAAAGGUACUCCGGGGAUAACAGGCUGAUACCGCCCAAGAGUUCAUAUCGACGGCGGUGUUUGGCACCUCGAUGUCGGCUCAUCACAUCCUGGGGCUGAAGUAGGUCCCAAGGGUAUGGCUGUUCGCCAUUUAAAGUGGUACGCGAGCUGGGUUUAGAACGUCGUGAGACAGUUCGGUCCCUAUCUGCCGUGGGCGCUGGAGAACUGAGGGGGGCUGCUCCUAGUACGAGAGGACCGGAGUGGACGCAUCACUGGUGUUCGGGUUGUCAUGCCAAUGGCACUGCCCGGUAGCUAAAUGCGGAAGAGAUAAGUGCUGAAAGCAUCUAAGCACGAAACUUGCCCCGAGAUGAGUUCUCCCUGACUCCUUGAGAGUCCUGAAGGAACGUUGAAGACGACGACGUUGAUAGGCCGGGUGUGUAAGCGCAGCGAUGCGUUGAGCUAACCGGUACUAAUGAACCGUGAGGCUUAACCUU